UACGGAGGGUGCGAGCGUUGUUCGGAAUCACUGGGCGUAAAGCGCGUGUAGGCGGCCCACUAAGUCUGAUGUGAAAGCCCGGGGCUCACCCCCGGAAGUGCAUUGGAAACUGGUGGACUCGAGUCCCGGAGAGGAGAGCGGAAUUCCUGGUGUAGCGGUGAAAUGCGUAGAUAUCAGGAGGAACACCGGUGGCGAAGGCGGCUCUCUGGACGGUGACUGACGCUGAGACGCGAAAGCGUGGGGAGCAAACAGG
rnacentral:rRNA from 1 species